rnacentral:rRNA from 1 species
GAUGAACGCUGGCGGCGUGCCUAAUACAUGCAAGUCGAGCGAACAGACGAGGAGCUUUCUCCUCUGACGUUAGCGGCGGACGGGUGAGUAACACGUGUAUAACCUACCUAUAAGACUUGGAUAACUUCGGGAAACCGGAGCUAAUACCGGAUAAUAUAUUUAACCGCAUGGUUCAAUAGUUAAAUUCGUUUUUUCUUUCACUUAUAGAUUGUUCCGCGCCGCAUUAGCUAGUUGGUAAGGUAACGGCUUACCAAGGCGACGAUGCGUAGCCGACCUGAGAGGGUGAUCGGACAAACGGGAACUGAGACACGGUACAGACUACUACGGGAGGCAGCAGUAGGGAAUGUGCCGCAAUGGGCGAAAGCCUGACGGAGCAACGCCGCGUGAGUGAAGAAGGUCUGAGGAUCGUAAAACUCUGUUAUUAGGGAAGAACAAAUGUGUAAGUAAAUAUGCACGUAUUGACGGUACCUAAUAAGAAAGCAACGGCUAACUACGUG